rnacentral:rRNA from 1 species
GAUGAACGCUGGCGGCGUGCCUAAUACAUGCAAGUCGAGCGAACAGACGAGGAGCUUGCUCCUCUGACGUUAGCGGCGGACGGGUGAGUAACACGUGGAUAACCUACCUAUAAGACUGGGAUAACUUCGGGAAACCGGAGCUAAUACCGGAUAAUAUAUUGAACCGCAUGGUUCAAUAGUGAAAGACGGUUUUGCUGUCACUUAUAGAUGGAUCCGCGACGCAUUAGCUAGUUGGUAAGGUAACGGCUUACCAAGGCGACGAUGCGUAGCCGACCUGAGAGGGUGAUCGGCCACACUGGAACUGAGACACGGUCCAGACUCCUACGGGAGGCAGCAGUAGGGAAUCUUCCGCAAUGGGCGAAAGCCUGACGGAGCAACGCCGCGUGAGUGAUGAAGGUCUUCGGAUCGUAAAACUCUGUUAUUAGGGAAGAACAAAUGUGUAAGUAACUAUGCACGUCUUGACGGUACCUAAUCAGAAAGCCACGGCUAACUACGUG